rnacentral:tRNA from 1 species
GUUACAGUGGCCGAGUGGUUAAGGCGACACCCUGCUACUUCGCAGCUUAGGUGUUGGGUUCUGCCUGCGCAGGUUCGAAUCCUGCCUGUAACG